UAUGAAGUACUUUAAUAACUCUAGUCCUGCUAAAGCUUUGAACAGCUGAUGAUUUUUAUGUAUUUCAUUUAGAAGCUGGGGUUCCACAGUGAUGAGAAGGGAUCUUCCUCAUUACUGACUGCUCUGAAGAAAGCCGAGGGGUGCAGCAGAUCCCGGCUCCAGUGAGGAAACCAGGGAGUUUUCUUCAGCAGCUCCAUAACCUGACAUGAGCAAAGGUUCUCUUGUGAGGGUUCCUCCUCUUACGGAGCAGGAAGAUGUUAUGCACGUGUGGCAAAAGAGGGACGAAGGGGGAAAUCUUUCCAAUCCCAGCUACUAAAAGGGAGAGUAUUUAAAUAUAAACAUUUAGAUGCCCAACUAGAUUUGGUUGCUAUUUCAGUUGUAUCUUACUGCAUCACCAUACCAGGGAACUUCAGUGACUAAAACUGCAGUGCAUGUGAGAAGGUGGAUGUAGGUAGAGAUGCAGUUAAAUCCUUGCUCACCUAACGUUUAUUAUGUGUCUUGUUGCACUGACAACUCCAGAAUGCUCCAGACCUGCCAAGUUUUCCUUAAUGAGAAUCUACUUCAGAAGCCUGGAGGAAAGAUCCAUACCCAAACAGCAGCAAUUAUUCCCUGAUGCUAUUAUACAGGUUUUGACUGCAGGAAGAGGAAGGACAGCUUGUGGAACAAACCUGUCAAAGCGAGCAUGGUAUAUAAAAGACCUUGCAUCUGAUGGCCAUUUAGAGGCAAGAUGACUGGCUGCUGAAACUUAUGAACCUGAUAAAGCAACGCCCCAGUGAUUCUUGUAAGUAAAUUCUAAUGCUUUCAACAGAUGGAGUGGGGGAAUCCCAAAUGAUUUUAUACCCGGUAAGAAAUCGCAGACUCUAGAUGAGGUUGUCUCAAUUUACUGGUAUCUAGAAAACCUGAGGAAAUGAAGUCAGCCUUUGGAAAGUUACUAAUAAAGGAAAGUGCAGAACAGAGCCAUACUGAACUGUUCACUGGCUGGAGACUCACUACU